AUUGAACGCUGGCGGCAGGCUUAACACAUGCAAGUCGAACGAGUGGCGGACGGGUGAGUAAUGCUUGGGAAUCUGGCUUAUGGAGGGGGAUAACUACGGGAAACUGUAGCUAAUACCGCAUACCAUCGGAUGAGCCCAGAUGGGAUUAGGUAGUUGGUGGGGUAAAGGCUCACCAAGGCGACGAUCUCUAGCUGGUCUGAGAGGAUGACCAGCCACACUGGAACUGAGACACGGUCCAGACUCCUACGGGAGGCAGCAGUGGGGAAUAUUGCGCAAUGGGCGCAAGCCUGACGCAGCCAUGCCGCGUGAAUGAAGAAGGCCUUCGGGUUGUAAAGUUCUUUCGGUAGCGAGGCGUUAACCACAGAAGAAGCACCGGCUAACUCCGUGCCAGCAGCCGCGGUAAUUC
rnacentral:rRNA from 1 species